rnacentral:tRNA from 1 species
AGUAGGAUCAGCUAACAAAGCUAUUGGGCCCAUACCCCAAAAAUGAUGGUUUAACCCCUUCUCCUACUA